rnacentral:rRNA from 1 species
UACGUAGGUGGCAAGCGUUAUCCGGAUUUAUUGGGCGUAAAGGGAACGCAGGCGGUCUUUUAAGUCUGAUGUGAAAGCCUUCGGCUUAACCGGAGUAGUGCAUUGGAAACUGGGAGACUUGAGUGCAGAAGAGGAGAGUGAAACUCCAUGUGUAGCGGUGAAAUGCGUAGAUAUAUGGAAGAACACCAGUGGCGAAAGCGGCUCUCUGGUCUGUAACUGACGCUGAGGUUCGAAAGCGUGGGUAGCAAACAGG